UGGAGAACACUGCAGCUCCAUUGCCCCUGUGAUUUUGUGAAAAUGAAAUUAGCUAUUGAAGUCAAAUAAUCAUAAUAAAUGAAAGUUUUUUUAUCUUGAAAUCAUACUGCUGAGAAUGGAUGAGGACUGUGACAAGUUAUGAUUGAUUGAUAAGCUUAUUUGUGUAUGCUGUUAGGGAGAUUCACUAUCAUCAUUCCCAUAUUUUACAGUUUUUCCUUUAGCAAUUUUAAGACAUAAUGAACUUUUCCAGAUUAGAUUAUUGAGAAUGGGGUCCUGCAUCGUUUU